rnacentral:rRNA from 1 species
AGAACGAACGCUGGCGGCAGGCUUAACACAUGCAAGUCGAGCGCUCGCAGCAAUGCGAGAGCGGCAGACGGGUGAGUAACGCGUGGGAACAUACCCUCCGGUUCGGAAUAGCUCAGGGAAACUUGGAUUAAUACCGGAUACGGCUUAGCGGCGAAAGAUUCAUCGCCGGAGGAUUGGCCCGCGUUCGAUUAGCUAGUUGGCGGGGUAAUGGCCCACCAAGGCGACGAUCGAUAGCUGGUCUGAGAGGAUGAUCAGCCAGACUGGGACUGAGAACGGCCCAGACUCCUACGGGAGGCAGCAGUAGGGAAUUUUCCACAAUGGGCGAAAGCCUGAUGGAGCAACGCCGCGUGCAGGAUGAAGGCCUUAGGGUUGUAAACUGCUUUUAUGUGUGACGAAUAUGACGGUAGCAUAUGAAUAAGGAUCGGCUAACUCCGUGCCAGCAGCCGC